GACCAAGCUUGGAAAACUCGUCCCUUGCCUCGCUGAGGGUCCGGCAGCCAGUUGGAGAACCGCUCCGUAUGGCAGUUCGCACUGAAUGUAAUCAUGCCAGUACUCGAGACCCCGGAGGGUGAGGCAACCAAUCAUUGGGGUCUCUCCAUGGUUGGGUGAAGACGUCCACCACAUGAGUGUCUCGUCCCGCAUACAUUCUGUCACAAAUGACGAAUACUUGUCCAGAAGCUAUAGAUAGCGAUCCUAUGUGAGAUCCGACUGCAGUCCGUAGUAGGCAACUGGUGAGAAGUCCAUGCCGGAAGGUAGCGAGCAAUACUGUGAAUGUUGAACAAACCUGCAGGCAGGUCCAUGCAGUUGGCGUAAAGGAGUCCCUCCUCCGG